CCCAGACAGCCAGGAUGUUGGCUUAGAAGCAGCCAUCAUUUAAAGAAAGCGUAAUAGCUCACUGGUCGAGUCGGCCUGCGCGGAAGAUGUAACGGGGCUAAACCAUGCACCGAAGCUGCGGCAGCGAACGUAUCACUUAAAGCGAUUCAGCGGAUUACGAUUGACGGAGCGAAGCGACGUCAAAGCGUAUACAAAGUCGAGUCGGUUUAAGGAUACGUUCGUUGGGUAGGGGAGCGUUCUGUAAGCCUGUGAAGGUGGCCUGUGAGGGUUGCUGGAGGUAUCA
rnacentral:rRNA from 1 species